AGAGUUUGAUCCUGGCUCAGGACGAACGCUGGCGGCGUGCUUUACACAUGCAAGUCGAGCGAUGAGAUCCCUUCGGGGAUGGAUUAGCGGCGAACGGGUGAGGAACACGUGAAGAAUCUACCUUCAACACUGGGAUAACUCCGGGAAACCGGGGCUAAUACCGGAUACGAGAUCUGCAGGCAUCUGCGGAUCUGGAAAGUUUUUCGGUUGAAGAUGACUUCGCGGCCUAUCAGCUUGUUGGUGAGGUAAUGGCUCACCAAGGCGACGACGGGUAGCCGGCCUGAGAGGGCGACCGGCCACACUGGGACUGAGACACGGCCCAGACUCCUACGGGAGGCAGCAGUGGGGAAUAUUGGGCAAUGGAGGGAACUCUGACCCAGCGACGCCGCGUGCGGGAUGAAGGCCUUCGGGUUGUAAACCGCUUUCAGCAGGGAAGAAGCGAAAGUGACGGUACCUGCAGAAGAAGCACCGGCUAACUAUGUGCCAGCAGCCGCGGUAAUACAUAGGGUGCAAGCGUUGUCCGGAAUUAUUGGGCGUAAAGAGCUCGUAGGUGGUUCGUCACGUCGGAUGUGAAACUCUGGGGCUUAACCCCAGACCUGCAUUCGAUACGGGCGAGCUAGAGUGUGGUAGGGGAGACUGGAAUUCCUGGUGUAGCGGUGGAAUGCGCAGAUAUCAGGAGGAACACCAAUGGCGAAGGCAGGUCUCUGGGCCAUUACUGACACUGAGGAGCGAAAGCGUGGGGAGCGAACAGGAUUAGAUACCCUGGUAGUCCACGCCGUAAACGGUGGGCACUAGUUGUGGGAACCUUCCACGGUUUCUGCGACGCAGCUAACGCAUUAAGUGCCCCGCCUGGGGAGUACGAUCGC
rnacentral:rRNA from 1 species